GGUUGUAUGGAGUAGUGGUCAACUUAGGAGAUUUUGAUUCUCUUGCCCUGGGUUCGAAUCCCAGUACGACCU
rnacentral:tRNA from 1 species